GUCAUUAGAAAGCACCUUCUCAGGUGACCCAGAUGUUCCCUUAAAAACAACCUGCCACCGGGCACAGCUAAUCUGCGAGCUUCUGCUCCGGGCAGUGUGCCAGAGGCACGCGCGUCGUCCUCACAGCACUCCGGCCAAUGGCUGGUCUUACUGAUUUCGUUUUAUAGAUGAGGAGAGGGGGGACAGACAAGGAAAGGAACUUCCGCAAGAUCCUACGGCUUGUGGGAGGUGAGGCGGAGUGUAAACUCACGGCCCCUCACAGCCCUGCCCGGGAUAAGUAGCGUGGAGGCUUGGAUGGCUGUUAAUGAGCCUCUGUGCCUCGGCCUCGUGUGCGGAAACAUUAGCGGGGUGCCUGCUGGACAGCUUGGGGUCGUCUGAGUUUCAGCAGCACCUUGUAAGGGGCUCUUCCUGAGGUCGGGGAGGGGAAGCCGAGGCUGGUGGGUGGGCUCAUCUGCCUGAAGGCAGAGCCUUAGUGAGUGUGUGGAGGUCCUCUGCUGGCUCUCUCACCCCCACUGCCUUCUGCAGCCCGGCCUGACACUUCACCCUUCCUCUCCUGCACAGACGCCCUCCUGGGGCGCCCACGGAGGGAGGCAGGCACAGCAGGUGAACAAAGCCGAGCAGCCUGUGGUAGGACAGCUAGGGAGCCAUGUGCCUGUCCCCCCUGGAAGAUGCGGAUGAAGGGCUUAGGUGCUCGGAGGAGUUCAGCAGCCAAAGAAAUACGUUUACCUUCAUUAGCCUCGUCUUGCCCAAACUUUUGUGACUACCAAACAUUGCUUCCCCCCCGAGCCAUCUUCUAGCUCAGUGGGACAGACUUGGGGAGUGUGGAGAGAGGGAAGAGACGCAGGGGUGAGGCAAGACUUCGCUUGCAGGGUCCUGGAAGGAGGGCAGAAUUUAGCUGGUUAGAAGGGAUAUUCUACAAGGAGACGAACGGACAAGCCAUGUUUGGGGAGCAUUUUGGAAAGUGACUGACAUAGCACCUUGGACUCAGUAUUUUUAUUGAAAAAAUGACAAGUCUGUAAGUGGAGGCUGGUGUUGGCAGUGAGGGGUAAAGGGGCUCGUGGGAACUCUUGAUGGGCAUGAUGUAAACUCGGUGGUGGAUGAGGAACUUCCACUGAGCCAAGGAGUAGUCGAUGGAGGUGGAAUCGGAAGCAGGAAAGCCGUGGCUGUUGCGGCGCCUCUAAAGUGAUGCAGGCUUGCACAUGCGCAGGGGUAGGGUGGAGUCGGCAGACGCGACAGGCCAGCGUGCUUGGCGAGAGCUGUGGGGGUGCUGAGUGCUCAGAGGCCAGGCACACAGGCCUGCUCCUGGGUGUGCAGGGAGGCCAGUGCGGACGGGAGCCGUCUGACAUGCUUGCUUCUCUACGGCAGUGGGUCCUUAUUAUUUAUUUACAUCCCUUUUGGUGGGAACCACAGAGAGUUUCUAGUCCCAUUCCCUCCUCCCUCUCAAUACUUCUCCCAUUAUUAUUGUUGGCAUGCUUACAUUCUAAAGUGUAUAGUGCUUUAUGUAAUGAGAUAUCCAUUCUAACAUUGCCCUAUAGGAAAAUACGUAAGAAGAUAUGUAGCAUGUAGCAUGUGUCUAGAAUGUUUUUAUAAGCAUGUCCCAGAGCCACAGCCUCCCAGCACCGUCUGUUACUGCCGUGUAGACACCAAACACUGCUCCUUCCAGUGUCUCACAGCGAGUCCUCGCUCAGGCUGGUGGAGACGGGAGCAGGAGAGAGCAUUUCAGAGGAGUGUACUGUGUGAGGGUCUGGGGUAGAGAUCUGACUCAGCAUUAAUCCACGCAUGUAAUGAGCCAUGUAAUAAUGGGGCUCUGCUGCAAAUUGUGGUGAAGAUUCUCAGUGAAAUUGAAUUUUCUGAGUACCAUACCCAUAAAAAAAUCUUCACUCAGACUUUAUAAAACAGUCCCAAAUAUAUUGCAAAUGUUGUGGGUAUUUGCACAAUAUUGACAGAAAAUAGGGAAAAAAAUCAUCAAUAUAUUUCUGGGAAACGUAAGAUCAGAUUAUAACAUAAGUAUAUACCAGUAUGAGUAAUGUCUGUGUUGAAGUUAUUAGAGUUUGUUAAAGGUUAGAUAAACUUAAUAGAUUCCUUAAACUUAAGUGAUAAUAGAUUCUUUUUUAACAAAGAAAAUAAAACUAAAUAAAGGACUUUUUUAACCGUCCUGCAGAGUGGAGUGAGGAAGCUUUAAAGCAGACAAGUCUUUAUGUCACAGUUGGGUGGUGAACAAGAACCGUGGUCACCAUUGGGCCUGCGUAUAUGCUACGGUUUAUAUUCAGUGGGUGAGCGUGAUUGCUUCUCUGCAUUCGUUUUAGCCUUUAAACCUGAGCAGAGCCUGCGGAUUGCUGCUCUGCGGAAAGCCCUCAUUGUCGCUCAUUUCUGUUAGAUUUUGAGUUGCUGACAGCAGAGAGAACAUUUUUGUAUCUGUACAGUAUAUUGUGGAGGCUAAGAUUAAAGUUUUCACUUUUAUUUUGAGUUACCUGUUCCUUCAGAGAUUUUGCUUCCACCCGGGAUGGAGGGGGAGGGAGGAAGCUGAGACCUUCUCUAGGGUGGUGGCCAACCAUAAUUCCCAAGAGGCAGCCUCCCUGUGGGGGUUCCCGUCAGGUGUGAGGAGAGGGGUGUGGGUGAUGGUCUUAAUGUCCUCAGGGGGCACCUGGCACUGUCUUCUGGGGGUGCCCAUAGGAAUGGGCAGUUCCCUUUCCCUGAAGCCCCUGGGUAAGUGCCACCAACCAAACUGUGAAGAAAUAAUGUGACGUUUCUUAGGGACAUUUGAAUCUUAGGUGUGAUAAAAUUGUACAAAAUAACGCCUGGUUGCCUUUCACAGAUCUGGUGACUGUCUUCAGGUACGACCACUGCGGUCAUUCUGGCCAACCCAGAAUGUCCACUUAGCAAGUGUUAAACUUACUGCGCUAGUCUCCUCGAGGGAGGACUCUGUGGAAAUCAGAUCAGAUUUUAAAAGGGUAUUGUCAGCAUUCUUUUUCUUGAAAUCAAUUUAUGUGCACUCAUAAUUUAAGUACUCCUUUAGCAAAAUUAUUAAAUGUGAUUAAUUUACUACACUGCCGAUUUAAUACCCUUCAAUGGCAGAAUUUUGAUUACAUAAAUCCUGCAGCCUACAAAAAUGGCUAUUUCUUAUUAAUUUGUGAUUUCCCAACUAAGUCUGAAAUUAGUGGACAUCAAUUUCAGACUUCAGGAUUGCUCAAAAGUUUUCAAGCCUUUUAUUUGCAUGUCCCAUAACCUUCCCUUCCCCUUUUUAAAAUUUGCUCUUUUCACCUUUUCAGGGGUUUCUUUUCUCAUUUGUUUUGGGAGGUUUUUUGUUUGUUUGUUUGCAUUUUCUUUCCUGAAACUUUGAACUCCAUAGAUGGGCGUUAAGGCCUGGUUUGAGACGAUCUGGUCUGCUUUCUUUCAUUCCCAUGUAUUGUGUUCUAGAGCCUGUUUGCUCUGAAGGUACAGAUUCACAGCUGGAGAAAGGGUUCUGAACUUCAUCAUAGCUGUCGCCUUCGUUCUUACCGUGUGCCAAGUACGGACUUCACGUGUUACCUCACUUACUCUCAUCGGUCGGUGAGGAAGCCGAUGCACCUGAGCUCUGUCAUCAGCUCAUUCAGACAGAGGAGCCGUCCCACUCUGAGAUCUAAGAGCUCUCUGGGGCCCAGACCUGAUCUGCUUUAAUUAAAAAGUUAUCAAAUGUUACAUAAAUCUCCUGCGUCUAAUGGGUUCACAGCCCCAAAUAGAGUAAUUUUGGGCUUUAAAACUCUAAAGGCAACACUGACUUUGAUGUGUUUAUAAGAAGCAUUAUUUAAAUGUGAAAUUCCCUCUUCUCCCUAACUGUCGCUCUGCGUCUAAACAGCCUGGGCAGGCGCGGGUCAGACGCAUGGAGCGCUCACAGGUUUUUCCCCAGCAGCCGGGUCUUCUUGAAGCAUCAUCUGACAAUUAAUGUUACUGAGACAAAUAAAGCUACUUAAAGGGGCUCUAGUUCUGAGCCACAUGAUAUCAAGUGGGAAGACAUGUCUGGAAAUCUGUGUCACCUUUUAGCUCCUGGGGAAGGCUAGAAGCGCGCUGCCUUUGAUAAAGAAGAGCAGCAUAUGAAUGGGUGAUGGCUGCCUUUCUUCCGUCUAAUUCAGCUGCUUCCUAUUCCAUCGAAAACCUCUGUUGGAAAGCAAUUUCCCUCACUUGACCCAUUUUCCUUCUGCAUUAUGUCUUCUUCUGGUUCCUCAACACAGAAUGGGAAAGAGUGCAGCUGCAAACCUGCAGGCUCAGGAGGCGGGGCUCGGGCUCCGCCUUUGGAGGGAGCGCGCUCUUCCUUUCAUUCUCUGACUCCUCACUUAGAUUUCACAGCUUCCAGGAGAGAGAUGUUAAGUGCACGAUUGGUAGAGAGACUUGUGGGUACAGAAAAAAAUAGGUGUGGGGGUACGGAUCUUGUUUAGGGGUUUGGGCAGUGUAAGGAUGUUAGCAUUUUAGUAAACAUAUGUGCAGUAAGCCUAAUAUUAAUAUAUUCGUAUUUUUAAAUGUCUCUGGACACCUAGGUCUCUUGAUAUCAUUAUCUGGUAAUUUUUAACACCUCCAUUAGUCACAGGUAUGACAUGCUAUCCUGUGAUAACAUUUACUUCACAUCCAUGGUUAAGGGGCUUACAUUGGCUUCUGUCCUUGCCAGGUCAAAUUCUAAAUGUCCCAGCAUUCCUAGGAUAGCACCAGACUCCUUCAUGGAACCUUCUCCACCUUUACUCAUGUGAACUUUCUCUUCGCCAUUGACACUCACGCCUUUGGUGACCUCAUUCAGUCCCGUGACUUUAAAUGCCACACAUACCUGAAGACUCCUAAGUUCUAUGUCACCAGCCUAGACUGCUCCCAGAUGGAGCAUUUGCAUCUCCGCUUGCCGCCUCUACAUGCCGCUUAAAGAGCAUGUCCCCCUCACAGGCCCAGGACGCCAGGCCUGCUCUGGCCCCACGUCUUUCUGGCGCACAACCCCCCCAUUCACCUGAGAGCACCACAUCCUUCUAGGCCAGCCGUGGGCAAACUAUGGCCCGCGGGCCAGAUCCAGCCCGUUUGAAAUGAAUAAAACUAAAAAAAAAAAAAAAAAGACCGUACCCUUUUAUGUAAUGAUGUUUACUUUGAAUUUAUAUUAGUUCACACAAACACUCCAUCCAUGCUUUUGUUCCGGCCCUCCGGUCCAGUUUAAGAACCCAUUGUGGCCCUUGAGUCAAAAAGUUUGCCAACCCCUGUUCUAGGCACUCCAAUCAAACCUUGGGAGUCCUCUUCCUCCUCCUUUCUCUCCAUGCAUAAGCCAUAGGAACUUAGACAGGAGGCUUUUAAAUAACCCAAAAAAAAAAGAGGAGAGAUCACAAGGAAAGUUAGAAAUAUUUUCAACUGAAUUAAAAAAGGAAACACAACGUAUCAGAAUUUAUGUGAUACAGCUAAACUGUACUCAGAGGGAAAUUCAUAGCUGUAAAUGUCUGUGGCAGGAUUCUCUGAAGUGCAUCUUAGGAAGGACUGCUACGCUCAACAUUAAAGAAUAAUGACAAUCUGUAAGACCCUCUCCCCCCAGCCCCACAAGGCAGAGCUGCUGAGUCCGAUUCUUCAGGAUUGAAGGUUUAGGUGGUCCUGUCAUGCUGAGAACCCUGCCUGCCUGAGGUUCUGAUUGAGGAAAAAAAAAAUCUGGGAUGGACAGUGGAAAAGAAAGUCAUGGACACCAUCAUGGCCUCAGGACCAGGCUGCUGUGCUGCUGGAAAUUGCUCAUGACAAUAGUCGCAAGUACAGAACAAACUACACGAAAGGGGAUUUGUGACGGAAAUAGUGUAAAAUGGGAAUCCCCAAAGAAACAACAUGGGAAUUAUUAAGAAAAUUAUUAUCUAUCCACACAAUGACAGUAUUGUGUUGUCAUUAAAAGUUACAUUGAUGAAAAUA